rnacentral:rRNA from 1 species
GGCGCACGGGUGCGUAACGCGUAUGCAACCUACCUUUUACUGGGGUAUAGCCCGAAGAAAUUCGGAUUAAUCCCCCAUAGCACUGAGCAUUCGCAUGAAUAAUCAGUUAAAGUUUCGGCGGUAAAAGAUGGGCAUGCGUCCUAUUAGCUAGAUGGUAAGGUAACGGCUUACCAUGGCUACGAUAGGUAGGGGGCCUGAGAGGGUGGUCCCCCACACUGGUACUGAGACACGGACCAGACUCCUACGGGAGGCAGCAGUGAGGAGUAUUGGUCAAUGGGCGCAAGCCUGAACCAGCCAUGCCGCGUGCAGGAAGAAUGUCCUAUGGAUUGUAAACUGCUUUUAUUUGGGAAUAAACCCCCCGACGUGUCGGGGUCUGAAGGUACCAAAUGAAUAAGCACCGGCUAACUCCGUGCCAGCAGCCGCGGUAAUACGGAGGGUGCAAGCGUUAUCCGGAAUCAUUGGGUUUAAAGGGUCCGCAGGCGGGCAUAUAAGUCAGUGGUGAAAGCCUACAGCUCAACUGUAGAACUGCCAUUGAUACUGUAAGUCUUGAAUUCGGUCGAAGUGGGCGGAAUGUGUAGUGUAGCGGUGAAAUGCAUAGAUAUUACACAGAACACCGAUAGCGAAGGCAGCUCACUAGGCCUGGAUUGACGCUCAGGGACGAAAGCGUGGGGAUCAAACAGGAUUAGAUACCCUGGUAGUCCACGCUGUAAACGAUGAUUACUCGUUUUCGGCGAUAUACAGUCGGAGACUAAGCGAAAGUGAUAAGUAAUCCACCUGGGGAGUACGAUCGCAAGGUUGAAA